UGACGAACGGUCCAAACGUUUAUUCGGAAGUCAACUGGGCUUAAAGCGUCCGUAGGCGGCUCGGAAAGUAGGGUGAUGAAAUCCCGACGGCUCAACCGUGGAAUUGCGCUCUAAACUAUCGAGCUAGAGGGAGAUAGAGGUGGAGCGGAACUGAUGGUGGAGCGGUGAAAAUGCGUUGAUAUCAUCAGGAACACCGGAGGCGAAGGCGGCGUCACUGGGUCUUUUCUGACGCUGAGGGACGAAAGCUAGGGGAGCGAACGGG
rnacentral:rRNA from 1 species